UAUAAGUUUGAUUUUUUCUUAAAAAUUAAUUUUUUGUAAAGAUUAUACGUUUAUUUUUUAAGUUUCUGUAGUUCAGUAAUAAAAAUUUAUUUAUUGAUAUUUUCAAUUAAGUUAUACAUGAAUUUUAGAAAAAUAUUGUGCCAGCAUUCGCGGUUACACAAUUUAUGAGAAUUAAUUUUAUUGGCUUUAAUUUUUAUUUUUGAGGAUAAGUUUUAUUUAUUUAAGUGAAAUUUUUAUUUAAAUACUUCUUCUUUUAAAUUUUUAAUAAAUCUUUUUUUAAACCAGGAUUAGAUACCCUGUUAUUUUUUAUUUAAAUUUAUAGCUUUAACAUUAAUAGUUAUUUUCUAUUAAAUUUGAAUUAUUUGGCGGUAAGUUUUUAUUAGGGGAACCUGUUCUAUAAUUGAUAAACCACGAUAGUUUAUACUUUAGAUUUAUUUGUAUACCUCUAUAUUUGGAGUGUUUUUUUUAGAAUACACUUUUCUUAUUUGUAUAAUUUAUAUUAGGUCAAGGUGCAGUUAUUAUUUAAGCAAGCGUGGGUUACUAUAAAAUUUAAUACUUAGGAUAUUUAAUUUAAAAAUUAAAUUAAAAUAGGAUUUAAUAGUAAUUUAAGUUAAUUAAUUUAUUUGAAUAUUUUUAAAUUUAUGCACAUAUUGCCCGUCACUCUCAUUUUAGUUGAGAUAAGUCGUAACAAAGUAAUUGUACCGGAAGGUGUAGUUGGAAACA
rnacentral:ncRNA from 1 species